CCUACGGGAGGCAGCAGUGGGGAAUAUUGGACAAUGGGCGCAAGCCUGAUCCAGCAAUGCCGCGUGGAUGAUGAAGGCCUUCGGGUUGCAAAGUCCUUUCGGCGGGGAAGAUAAUGACGGUACCCGCAGAAUAAGCUCCGGCUAACUUCGUGCCAGCAGCCGCGGUAAU
rnacentral:rRNA from 1 species